rnacentral:lncRNA from 1 species
AGUCAAACCAAGAUUUGUACUGAAGUUCCCCAGCUUUAGGCUAAUUCUUCUUUAAUAUAGAAUGAAGGAGUGCUACGGGGUUGAAUUAUGAAAGCUUAAGACCAACCAAGCCCCUUAUUCAAGGGACACAGUAAGAGGUGUGAAUCCCAAGAGCAGCGUGUCUGCAACACAACAACUUCUCCUGGUAAUGGCUCCUGGUGGAUCAUUUGUAUUUUCCUUGCACAAACUGAGUGGAUGCUCGGGAAAGUGUUUAUAAAGUGAAUACCACAUAAGCUGCUCAAUGUUUAAAUGGACUCAUCUAUAUAUACAGGCUGAAGAAUUUAGUGGAAGCAGCAAAGAAACUACAUAAUGGCUGCAUUUGGAUUUGAAGGUUCCAUAAAGAUAUAUUUCUCAAGAAGAAAGCUCCUAGGCACAGAGAAGUGUCCUUGGUACUGAAGCCCCUGGGUUCUAAGUGAUAGCUCUUUCUGGAAUAUUAAAGCUAACCAGUGAUGAAGAGUGUGGAAAUCCAGAUGCCAAGCCACACAUGCAAGCAAAGCUCCACAGCUGCCAUUGGCGUGUCCACCAUCCGACUCAUCUACACGUCACGGGAGAGGAAAGAAGCGAAACGUGAAGGAGCACCCAGCGCCCUUCACUCACACAAGUGCACAAAUCAAGCGCUGAAAUUAAGAUGGCAGGGUGAUAAAAUGGGCAGGAGUCCCAGAAUAAAUAACUCUUUCUAUUCCCAUCCUAAUACGAUGGAUUCGCCUGGUGGGAAUAAGCUACGCAGUGAGACAAAGAGGAGUAAAAUCAAUUCAAAUUAUCUGACCUCGAAGCAAAUCAUGCAAAAUUUAAGAAGCGAGAGAGAACUUGAGAACGAUUUCACCUGUUUCUGUGUUUUACAUAAUACAUUUGUUGUAUUAUCUGAAGGGUCA